rnacentral:rRNA from 1 species
UACGUAGGGUGCGAGCGUUGUCCGGAAUUAUUGGGCGUAAAGAGCUCGUAGGCGGUUUGUCACGUCUGCUGUGAAAUCCCGAGGCUCAACCUCGGGCCUGCAGUGGGUACGGGCAGACUGGAGUGCGGUAGGGGAGAUUGGAAUUCCUGGUGUAGCGGUGGAAUGCGCAGAUAUCAGGAGGAACACCGAUGGCGAAGGCAGAUCUCUGGGCCGUAACUGACGCUGAGGAGCGAAAGCGUGGGGGGCGAACAGG